CCCCGGAGCCGGUCGGAGCGGCUCUGCCGCCUGCAGCCCCGCCGCUCCCUCCCGCGCUGGCGGCGGGCGCAGGGGGCUCGGACCCUGCCAAAGGCCAGAGGUAGAUUGACCGGGCGGCUUCCAGCAGCAGCGGCCGGGGAGACAGCUGCCGCGAGGGUUCACCUGCCCGCUCUCCGUUUCCUCUUCCUCGUCCUCACCCGGCCCCACCGGAGCCCCGCACAGCCGUUUGAAGACAGAGAUCAGAAAAGGAUGGACCGAGAUGGAUGUGGUGAAAAGGGUACCAGUAGAAUGACAGGGUAUCUGUGUAGCCACUUCUGAUGCCUCUUCCAUGCCUCUGGACUGCUCUCAAAGCCCCAGGCAGUGCUGUGUGUCUUCAUGUCCUCAAGCACAAGAAGUUCACCUGAGGGAGGAUUUUUGGGCUCUGACUGUUCACUUAAGCCCCUGGGUCUUGCUCUUCGUAGACAAUCAUUUGUGCUUGACCGCUGCUUGCUGGCCAGUUGGCCGGAUGUGGAAGGACUCUGCUGAUGAGAGCAUCUGAUCAAUAAACAAGGGGCAAAAAAGAAAUAACAGAUGCCUGAAGGGCUUGUGUUUUGUCACUGAGCCAUCACACCAGGAGUGGGAUUCAGAAACCCUGGUAGUGAGUCAUGCAUCCGUCUUGAGGUGACCUCGGGGACUUAGCAGGAUUGCUGUGGAAGAGGUACAGGCUGCUGUAUGAGUCACGGCAUCAGGCAAUAAAUUAGCCAAUAUAAUUCACUGGGAACUUUAUCUAUCUGCAUCGCUCUGCCUGAUGUGCUCUUUCCCUUUGGGAAGCUUCUGAUUAAAUAUACUUUAUUUCUUCUAUCAAAAAUUGCUCACAAAAAAUGCAAUAAACUCAGGGGAGUCACCCACAAGUACUGUGUGUUAUGCACAAUGGUGAAUAAUGGGUAGCUUGCUUUGUCCCAGAGAACUUAGCAAACACUUCUUAAAGGGGGUCUCUAAUUGAGUUGCUUGUCUGUGGAGAAAGAGGAAGGGAAAAAGGUUGUCUUGACCUACCUCUGCAGAAGAAACUAAUAAUUUUUGAUAUGCUGGAACACUUUUAAAGCAGUUUUAAGCAUAAUCAUGACCAUGUAUUAGGGUACUUGCAAUGACUAAUUCUUUCUGUGAAGCUUGCUGACAUCCUUCCUGUGUGUUUAGGAAAAUUUAGUAGAAAACUAAGGAAGCUGAUCAAAAGGCUAUGCGUGUUCCUUGCAGGCUCUGGAAGAUUGGAACUUCCCAAGCCAAUUAAACUUGAAGCAAAUAUGGGGAUGGAUAUCAUCAAAGUCUAUAGCUCAUUUAAACAAUGCAGAUAUGUCUUUAAAAAAAAUCAUUCUAUGCUGUGGAUAUGAAAGAAGAAAUGAAAUCUUUGUCAUAAUAGUCCUGAUUGCCUGACCCGUGAUUACUUCAUGCCACAUCUGCACCUUUGUUAAGAUGUAGCAGCUAAUCCAGGAAAACAUUUCCAGGCAUAUGAAUGAUGAGAAAAUAAUCAGAAGCAGUCAGCACGGAUUCACAAAGGAGGAAGUCGUGCUUGAUCAACCUGAUAGCCUACAGUAAAAGAGCUGGCCUGCUGGAUGAGGGGAGCGUGCAGACUGUCAAUUUGGACUUCAGUAAGGCCUUUGACACUGUCUCACAUAAGAUCCUCCAAGACAGGCAUUUGUAUGGCUUAGGUGAGCAGACAGUGAGCUGGACUGAAAACUGCUCAAAUGGGCAGACCCAAAUGCUGAUGAUUGGUGCCACAACUAGCUGGAUACCGGUGACUAGCAGCGUACCCCAGGUGUCAACACUUACUCCUUCAACAAUCUUCAUUAAUGACCUGGAUGAUGAGGCAGAGUGCAUAAUCAGGAAUUUUUCAGAGAAUAUAAAACCAGGAUGAGAGGCUGAUAUCAGAGAGUCAUGUUGCCAUCACAGGGACAUCAACAGCCUUAAGAAAUGGGAUGACAGGAACCUAAUGAAAUUCAGCAAGGGCAAAUGCCAAAUCCUGCACUUGGGGAGAAAAAAACUGAAAAAUGCUAGGUACUGCCCAGCUGGAGAACAGCCUGAGAGAAUAGGACCUGGGGGUCCUGGGGGACACCAAGCUGAACAUAAGACAGCAGUGUGCCUUUGUGGCAAAGAAGGAGAAUGAUGUCCUAGGCUGCAUUAGGAGUACUGCCAGCAUAUGGGAGAUGAUCCUGCUCCUUCACUCAGAGCUGGUGCGGAUAUCCCUGGAGUACUUUGUCCAGCUCUGCACUCGCUCGGUACAGUCAUGAGCACAUUGCAGAGAAUCCAUUCUUCAGUGGACCCUUCAAUGGAAGGGUCAUUAGGAUAACUGAGGGACUGGAUCACCUUUGCUAUGAGGAAUGGCUGAGGGAGCUGGGCCUGUUCAGCCUGAAGAGGGUAAGGCCCAGAGGGAUCUCUUCAAUGUCUAUGAGUGUGUGAUGGGAGAUCACAAAGAAGACACAGCAGAGCUCCUUCCAGUAGUGCCCAGUGACAGGGCCAGGGGCAGUGGGCACAAAUAUGGGAGGUUCCCUCUGAACUUCAGGAUGUACUUUUUCAUUGUGAGGAUGACCAGACA